UGAAGGUCUCCUGCAAGGCUUCUGGAUACACCUUCACCAGCAACUACAUACACUGGGUGCGACAGGCCCCAGGACAGGUGCUUGAGUGGAUGGGGAGGGUUGACCCUGAAGAUGGA